CACGUAGGUGGCAAGCGUUGUCCGGAUUUAUUGGGUUUAAAGGGUGCGUAGGCGGCCUUAUAAGUCAGUGCUGAAAUAUCCCGGCUUAACCGGGAGGGUGGCAUUGAUACUGUAGGGCUUGAGUGUAGUCGAGGUAGGCGGAAUUGACGGUGUAGCGGUGAAAUGCUUAGAUAUCGUCAAGAACACCGAUAGUGUAGACAGCUUACUAGGCUACAACUGACGCUGAGGCACGAAAGUGUGGGGAUCAAACAGG
rnacentral:rRNA from 1 species